GUGAAUCAUCAAAUUUUUGAACGCAAAUUGCACUCUUUGGUAUUCCGAAGAGUAUGCCUGCUUGAGGGUCGUUCCAAUCAACUAGCUUUUUUAAAAACGGAUUAGUGCUUUCUAAGGUCUCAUGAUUCUGGUCAAUUUAAAUUUUUCUCAACGAUAUCCUUGGAAUGAUUUUGGAAAUGGUUAUAUUCUUACUACUUGUGAGUAUCACUAACAAUCGAUUACCUGUCGUUACGUCGUACCAUUGGACGAACCCUCUUGAUUGGCUUGCAUGAAACAAUUUUC
rnacentral:misc_RNA from 1 species